CUAAUUUCCUGAAUUUAUUUAGAGUAGUGGCUCAAUAUAAUUCGAAGAAUUAAGGCCCAGAUUCAAAGCAGUGGCCCAAUUCCUUUAUUCUCUUCUUUUCUUUUUCUCUCUUUUUUUUUAAAAAAAGCCCGAUUAAUAUUUUGGCCCAAUUAAUAGAAUAAGCUCAAUUAAUCAUUAAUUUAGGGAGGCCCUAAAUUCAAUUAAUUUGUGACCCAAAAGGAAUUUAUUUGCAUUGGCCCAAAAAAAUAUUGGCCCAAAUACUACACUCCCAGUCUGUCAGCUGCCUCUCUCUCAUCUCUUCACCAAAUUGAAUUUUUUUCUCCCCCAAAUUAAAUCUCAAACCCUAACUUCUCCAUCUCUCUCCCUCCUCUCGAUAACAUUGCAGGCUGCCGCCCCUGCCGCGCCUCACAGAGGCGUCCGCCGUCUCCGACGCCACCUUCUUCCUCAGUGAAACGACCGCUGGCCGUCGUUCACCACCGUACCCAGCCGGCGCCGCGGCUGUGUAACCGUCUGCCUCGCCGUCCCGGUGCCAUCGGAGCAGAGAAGAGGGGCGUCGCCUCUCGGGGAAAACGCCGUCGGGUUGGACUCGGGCUGCUGUCCGGCGUGAUUCGAGGCGCAUGCUUCGACAGCGGCUUCGCCGCCUCUCCUUCGCGACGCAGCAGCUAAGUCCUUAACUUAGCUCGUUUAUGUUUUCCUUAGACGAAACCGGUUCUUAUAACACGAUUUACAAAUGGGCAGAUUAUUGUGUUUCUCUUAUGAGCUUCAAACUAGAGACUGAACUGCAAAAUCUUAAGCAUAUUGCCCAGUUAUAUUAUGCUCGUUUCAGUAUAUCCCUAUAAGGCAUUUGAAAAGAACUUUAGUCGAUUCUGGAGCUACUGGUUGUUGCUACUAUUUCUAGUGUUCCUACAGUUAUAGAUUCUACUUGAUGAUGUUUCUGUCUGUGAUGAUUCUUAAUUGAUGCAAAGGGUAAUGGUCUUACCUCUUGUCUGCACUGAUAAGCACUUGAGAUUGCUACUUGUUCCUGUAACUGCUGUGUUGCUGAAUUCCUUUAAUGGUAUGUGCAUGGGAUUUGGUAAGUAUGGAGGGGCUGCCUUUAUAGAUGAGAGUGUGUACUCGUGAGGUUCUGAUUUGGGUUGUUUUUAAUCUUGCAGCAACUUUAACUGCAUUUGUCUCCUUGUGUUGCUAGUACUUUAGUUAAUAAUGGCUUGUUUGUUGUGGCAGAAAAGGAGCCCUUGUUUGGUUGUGUAACUGAAAGCUGCAGGGUUGUUGCUUUGUGCCAGGAAAAGAGAUCUCUAGUUUGCUUAUACAUUGGCUGACCUCCUGCAAAUUCUGUUGCUUGCUGGUGUUGCAGAGUGUACCGUUAGAGGCUGCAACAAUUUGUUAGGGACAGAGGUGCAGGGCUGUUGUGGUCGUGGCCUUUCCUUGGCUCGUAGCCGCUGUACAAGGGCUGGAAAUGUAGGUUGCUGCAACCUCUACAGACUGCCCCAUUUGUUGGCUAACCAUCUCAAGCGACCAGCACACCGUCUCGGCCCAACUCCCGUCGGUAGUCGAGCCGACGGCCGGUGCUAAAAGUGCCGGAGCUAGCUCUCUUUCCCCCCUCGUAGUGUAAUAGAGUAGCUCCAUUUGUGAACAUUCUUUCUUCCCCAUGUAAUAGUUUGUUGACGUGUAUCUCGCUUGUCUUUAUUUUAAAUCGUCAAGCAUUUUGUAAUUCAUUAGCUUGAAAUUCUUUAUACUGUAUUUAUUUUUAUUCAAGAAAUAAAAAUACUCUUUCAUUCUUCAUAAA